rnacentral:lncRNA from 1 species
CUUUCAAUUAAUUUUAUUGAGUAGCCAAAUCUGAUAAAUUAGCACAGAUAAAAUAAGCAUUUGCAUGUGUUACAAAUGACUUUUUACAGGAAUAAAACAGUGAAAAUUACAAACUGUAAAAAGGAGGACAAGUAAAUCCUGUCUCAGAUUCAGAAGGGGGAAGAUUUAUCACUUCAUACUGAAGAUCAUAUGUUUGAGUUCAGAAAACAAAGAUUUAAUAUUACAGUAUUAUACACUACUUUACAAAAUUAAAUUUACUAUAAGGAUUACAUCCGUAAUAGUAAACAGAACCUUAAAAUCACAUUUAAUGGUCCCUUACUUAACAGCCAUUCUGUUUCUUUGAUUAAAUUCUGUUAAGAAAUUAAUUCUAAGUUAAAAGUGAAUCAUUCUAGUUAUUGCAACACAGUCUAUGUGGACUCCGACUCAAAUAUAUUAAAUUAAAAACGAGAAUGAAAGCAAAGUAAAAUGGAUGGUAACAAUGUUGGCUGAACACUAAUGUGUCAAAUACAGAUAGAGUUUCAAAAGAAGUCUUCAACUAGAAAAAUAGAGAACAUUUGCAGUGGUAGAGUUGUCGUGCUGAGAUCUAAGUACCAGAGCCACUCUUGCCUCUUUCGGCAGCUCAUCUUCAGUGUCCUCAUUUUUCAGUUGUAGGUGAAAAUGACAAAUCAUGAGUAGUUUCUGUGUUCAUCUGUCCUGCACUGCCCCUACAGCAAUACAGGGUGACCCAGCAGCUUUCCCACUGCGAGGGAAUACACUAACAAGGCUCCACACUGAAUUUCUUCCAAAGCAAAGAGGACUCCAAAUGGGUUCAUCUGAUUCUUACCAUGUUUUGCUCUGUAAAACUUAGGGACUCUAAUUCAAAGCUGUUAAUUGCCACAAAGACUGACAUCUUUAGCCAUUAGUCUGGUGUACAUAAAAGCAAUGAAGCCAUCUCCAACAUUUAUGUCUUAAAAAAGUAAGGGAUAUAGUAGCAAAAUACAGUCAUAGUAAGAGACAGACUUUGGGGGGGCUGUUAAGAUGCAAGGAUGACUUUCACCAUCUGAGUGAUAAUAUACCCAAACCACAAGUUUUAAGUCAUAACCUAUGCAAGUGCAUAGCUUCCGUUUAUUAUUUAAAUGAAGAGACCCCUUUCCCCCAGCAAAAAAGUUAAAUCAGACUGUGAAAACUUAAGAACCUCUUCACUAUGACUUCGAAACUGUGCAAUUCUCUGACAAGCUGUUCAAGUAAAUAUACUCCUGUUUGAAGGGAGACAGCAGAAGGGGAAGCUUCAAUUGAUUCUCUAAUAAGUCUUUUCAUGCUACCUUAGGCAUUGUUCUGGAAUUCAGCUUCUUGUGCUCAAGUGACAAGAACAACUUCCCUAAAGGAACUCCCCUGAAGUAAGGCAACUCCUGACAACCACGUGUAGCUACAGCCUGAAAUGGCAGCAAAUGAUUACCCACGAUGUCCUUGGACAUCUGUAUCACAAACGUAAGUUAACUAACCUUAUCACAGUGCAUGUUUGAGCACUUACAAGCAUUUUACCUGUUCAAGUUACUUGCCCCAGGAAGUAGGUUUUGCAAGUCCUUUAUCACAAACAAAAAAGCAAACCAACAUUUUUCCAUAUGAAACGCUUCCACAGGCAUUGGGAUACACUAACUUAAAUACUCUUUACGUUGUUAGCUAUCAAUGAUAGCUUAAUCUCCACCACAGAACAAUGAUCUAUGCACUUUUAAAAUGAUUUCAGUAUUUCUGUAUAUAAAUUUGCACUUCAAGGCCAAUGUCACCUUCCAUCUGGAGCUCUGGCAGGGAUCUGAGAGUAUAUUUAAAGCUCUUAUUUGGCUUUGGACCUGGGCUCAUUACACAGCUGCAGUAAAAGAAAAAUAAACUGAAAGCUUCAAGUGUGUCUCAAACCAUCGACUCAUCUGCAACGUAAAAUAUUUUUGUCUUUGGAAAAAUAAUGUCUUUUUGAAUUUUAACCUCAGAAUACUCAAUGUUGUCUCAAAACAUGAGGUUUGAAGUGCUGUCACACAAACUCGCUUCAGAAACACACUAGAUUUUAGGGGCUAAACAUUCAGAUAAUGUAAACAGGAGCCAAAAGUCUAUUAAACAUAAAGCGAAAAGUCUGAGAGAACCUUCCUCGCCCUUCCCCUCCCGCCCCAUUCACAAACUGAAAUGACAACUAUUCCUUUCACUGAAGAAAAACAUUUGCCAUCUAUGUCUACUUCUGCUGCUACCUCAGCCACUGACUUUAAGAUGUUCUCAUAGAGGGCCCGCUCCUCCCCACUCUUUUAAUUAGAAUACUGACUUAUUAAAAGCUUUAUCAAACUCAACCACCUCGUCCAGGUUAAGCUCACCUUUAGUCCUGUUAGCCACAAUCCCUGGAUUCUACACUUCAGAAGCAUUUGUUCAUUUCACAAUGAACGGUUGUUUCAUUGCUACUUUAAGCUUUAAGUUUGAACAUUGAGAUGCUCUUGUCUGUAAUCACUGGAUGCACUUAAAACAAUUUCCCUGCAAAUCAUGAUCAGUAUUGUGAGGUUUUGUAUCUAGCAGCAAAAAAAAAAAAAA